rnacentral:rRNA from 1 species
AUGCCUACGGGCCAAAGAGGGGGACCUUCGGGCCUCUCGCGUCAGGAUAUGCCUAGGUGGGAUUAGCUAGUUGGUGAGGUAAGGGCUCACCAAGGCGACGAUCCCUAGCUGGUCUGAGAGGAUGAUCAGCCACACUGGAACUGAGACACGGUCCAGACUCCUACGGGAGGCAGCAGUGGGGAAUAUUGCACAAUGGGCGCAAGCCUGAUGCAGCCAUGCCGCGUGUGUGAAGAAGGCCUUCGGGUUGUAAAGCACUUUCAGUCGUGAGGAAGGUAGUGUAGUUAAUAGCUGCAUUAUUUGACGUUAGCGACAGAAGAAGCACCGGCUAACUCCGUGCCAGCAGCCGCGGUAAUACGGAGGGUGCGAGCGUUAAUCGGAAUUACUGGGCGUAAAGCGCAUGCAGGUGGUUUGUUAAGUCAGAUGUGAAAGCCCGGGGCUCAACCUCGGAAUUGCAUUUGAAACUGGCAGACUAGAGUACUGUAGAGGGGGGUAGAAUUUCAGGUGUAGCGGUGAAAUGCGUAGAGAUCUGAAGGAAUACCGGUGGCGAAGGCGGCCCCCUGGACAGAUACUGACACUCAGAUGCGAAAGCGUGGGGAGCAAACAGGAUUAGAUACCCUGGUAGUCCACGCCGUAAACGAUGUCUACUUGGAGGUUGUGGCCUUGAGCCGUGGCUUUCGGAGCUAACGCGUUAAGUAGACCGCCUGGGGAGUACGGUCGCAAGAUUAAAACUCAAAUGAAUUGACGGGGGCCCGCACAAGCGGUGGAGCAUGUGGUUUAAUUCGAUGCAACGCGAAGAACCUUACCUACUCUUGACAUCCAGAGAACUUUCCAGAGAUGGAUUGGUGCCUUCGGGAACUCUGAGACAGGUGCUGCAUGGCUGUCGUCAGCUCGUGUUGUGAAAUGUUGGGUUAAGUCCCGCAACGAGCGCAACCCUUAUCCUUGUUUGCCAGCGAGUAAUGUCGGGAACUCCAGGGAGACUGCCGGUGAUAAACCGGAGGAAGGUGGGGACGACGUCAAGUCAUCAUGGCCCUUACGAGUAGGGCUACACACGUGCUACAAUGGCGCAUACAGAGGGCGGCCAACUUGCGAAAGUGAGCGAAUCCCAAAAAGUGCGUCGUAGUCCGGAUUGGAGUCUGCAACUCGACUCCAUGAAGUCGGAAUCGCUAGUAAUCGUGGAUCAGAAUGCCACGGUGAAUACGUUCCCGGGCCUUGUACACACCGCCCGUCACACCAUGGGAGUGGGCUGCAAAAGAAGUA